GGGGCUGUGUUGGUUUUGACAGCAGUUGUGGGGGUAAAGUAAGCAUGCCGGAGGACGUCCGUAUUCUCCGUAAAAACCGCGGGCAACACUAUAAUAACAGGCAACGAUAACUCGUUCGCAUUGGCUGCUUAAGCGGAAUGUUUAAGCCCCGAUUGUCUCCCCGGAAGCGCUGACCGACCGCGUCUGGACCGAGGCACCGCAAAUGCCGGAAUCGCAGAUUGAUAUACCUUUGGUCGUCUGCUAAAAAAUAAAAGGAUAAGGUGCAGAUAGGGCUCGUUUCUCCCCGGUUUGCAUACGAAAAUUAAUCAGAAGCUAAGCAUGUAGAAAGCUUUUCUGUCCGCUGUUUGGACGAGGGUUCGAACCCCUCCAGCUCCACAA
rfam:Bacteroidetes bacterium GWE2_42_42 gwe2_scaffold_660, whole genome shotgun sequence.